GUAGGGGUGACUGGAAUUCCUGGUGUAGCGGUGGAAUGCGCAGAUAUCAGGAGGAACACCGAUGGCGAAGGCAGGUCACUGGGCCGCAACUGACGCUGAGGAGCGAAAGCAUGGGGAGCGAACAGGAUUAGAUACCCUGGUAGUCCAUGCCGUAAACGGUGGGCACUAGAUGUGGGGGACAUUCCACGUUCUCUGCGUCGUAGCUAACGCAUUAAGCGCCCCGCCUGGGGAGUACGGCCGCAAGGCUAAAACUCAAAGGAAUUGACGGGGGCCCGCACAAGCGGCGGAGCAUGCGGAUUAAUUCGAUGCAACGCGAAGAACCUUACCAAGGCUUGACAUACACCGGACGCAUGUAGAGAUAUGUGUUCCUCUUUGAGGUCGGUGUACAGGUGGUGCAUGGUUGUCGUCAGCUCGUGUCGUGAGAUGUUGGGUUAAGUCCCGCAACGAGCGCAACCCUUGUUCUAUGUUGCCAGCACGUUAUGGUGGGGACUCAUAGGAGACUGCCGGGGUCAACUCGGAGGAAGGUGGGGACGACGUCAAAUCAUCAUGCCCCUUAUGUCUUGGGCUUCACGCAUGCUACAAUGGCCGGUACAAUGGGCUGCGAUACCGUAAGGUGGAGCGAAUCCCAAAAAGCCGGUCUCAGUUCGGAUUGGGGUCUGCAACUCGACCCCAUGAAGUCGGAGUCGCUAGUAAUCGCAGAUCAGCAACGCUGCGGUGAAUACGUUCCCGGGCCUUGUACACACCGCCCGUCAAGUCACGAAAGUUGGUAACACCCGAAGCUCAUGGCCUAACCAGAUUUUUCUGGGGGGAGUGGUCGAAGGUGGGAUCGGCGAUUGGGACUAAGUCGUAACAAGGUAACCGU
rnacentral:rRNA from 1 species